CAGUGCUAUAUGUAAGAGUUGCUGUCAGUUUUCCCAGACCAUAUGACAGAGCUUUUAGGAUUCUGGAUAUCCCCUUCUCCCCGACGUGAUUGGAUGAGGGAACUAUACUCCAGAUUUCUGAUGGGUCAUCAUGCAACUUAACAUCAUCAUUUUCCGUAAGGUAAACUCUUGUUGUGCCCAUGUUCCUUUCGAGAAAACCAUUACUUGAAUGAGAUAUUCCCGACCAG
rnacentral:misc_RNA from 1 species